AAAAAAAAAAAAAAAAAAACAGUGUUAAAGCAAAUUUAACUGAAAACAAUUUCUGGGUAUUUCAUAAAAAGCAGAAUUCAGGUGAGUGAUGAAAAAGUGCCAAAUUCCUAAGUUAAAUUGAUUUCUCUUUCCCUGAAAAAAAAAAGAAAAAAAAAAGACCAUCACAACACUUGCAUGUGCUCCCAAAAGAAAAAAAGGCAGAUAAUACACUUCAACCAUAGAAAUUACAAAGCAUAAGGUUAAGAAUAAAUACCUUGUCGGGACUAAACUUCAG
rnacentral:misc_RNA from 1 species